rnacentral:rRNA from 1 species
AUGGUGGGCGCCGUGGAGGUGUUCACGUUCAUCGGGCAAAUGGAGUUCUUCUACGAGCAGGCGCGGGACGCCCUGCGGAGCGCGGAUCUCCUGCGCGGCGAUCGCGCUGUUCAAAUACGCGAGCUCGGCGCUUCUCCCUCUUGUGGUGGAUCCCGACGACAUCAACGAUGGUCACCUGGAGUCCUGGACUACUUCUUCGCCAUGUUCUGCGUCGGCAACUUCGGCGCGUACCUGCUCUUCGCAUGGUGGCACAACAGCAAGAAGACUGCUGAUUGA